GCGUUUUUGGUUUAGGGGUAUAAUAGUUGAUUGCCAUUCAACAGACACGGGUUCGAUUCCCGUAAGACGCA
rnacentral:tRNA from 1 species